GAUGAACGCUAGCGGCAGGCCUAACACAUGCAAGUCGAGGGAGAAGCCCUUUCGGGGGCAGAAACCGGCGCACGGGUGCGUAACGCGUAUGCAACCUACCUUUCACAGGGGGAUAGCCCGAAGAAAUUUGGAUUAAUACCCCAUAAUAUUAUUGGAUGGCAUCAUUUGAUAAUUAAAACUGCGGUGGUGAAAGAUGGGCAUGCGUCCUAUUAGCUAGUUGGAGUGGUAACGGCACCCCAAGGCUACGAUAGGUAGGGGUCCUGAGAGGGAGAUCCCCCACACUGGUACUGAGACAAGGACCAGACUCCUACGGGAGGCAGUAGUGAGGAAGAUUGGUGAAUGGUCGGAAGACUGAACCAGCCAUGCCGCGUGCAGGAAGAAUGCCUUAUGGGUUGUAAACUGCUUUUAGAUGGGAAGAAUAAGGCGUACGUGUACGUUGAUGACGGUACCAUAUGAAUAAGCAUCGGCUAACUACGUG
rnacentral:rRNA from 1 species